rnacentral:rRNA from 1 species
AGCAGCCGGGGUAAUUCCAGCUCCAAUAGCGUAUAUUAAAGUUGUUGCAGUUAAAAAGCUCGUAGUUGAAUUUCGGGAUCAGUACGCUGGUCGUGCCUCCGGUACGUACUGGCAUUGUUGGUUUCUCCCUUCUGACGAACCAUGAUGUCAUUAAUUUGGUGUCAUGGGGAAUCAGGACUGUUACUUUGAAAAAAUUAGAGUGUUUAAAGCAGGCUCACGCUUGAAUACAUUAGCAUGGAAUAAUGAAAUAGGACGUUUGAUUCUAUUUUGUUGGUUUCUAGGAUCGACGUAAUGAUUAAUAGGGAUAGUUGGGGGCAUUAGUAUUCAAUUGUCAGAGGUGAAAUUCUUGGAUUUAUUGAAGACUAACUACUGCGAAAGCAUUUGCCAAGGAUGUUUUCAUUAAUCAAGAACGAAAGUUAGGGGAUCGAAGACGAUCAGAUACCGUCGUAG